CCUACGGGGGGCAGCAGUGAGGAAUAUUGGUCAAUGGACGAGAGUCUGAACCAGCCAAGUAGCGUGAAGGAUGACUGCCCUAUGGGUUGUAAACUUCUUUUAUAAAGGAAUAAAACGAGGCACGUGUGCCUUUUUGCAUGUACUUUAUGAAUAAGGAUCGGCUAACUCCGUGCCAGCAGCCGCGGUAAUACGGAGGAACCGAGCGUUAUCCGGAUUUAGUGGGUUUAAAGGGAGCGUAGAUGGGUUGUUAAGUCAGUUGUGAAAGUUUGGGGCUCAACCGUAAAAUUGCAAUUGAUACUGGCAGUCUUGAGUACAGUUGAGGUAGGCGGAAUUCGUGGGGUAGCGGUGAAAUGCUUAGAUAUCACGAAGAACCCCGAUUGCGAAGGCAGCUUACUAAACUGUGACUGACAUUGAUGCUCGAAAGUGUGGGUAUCAAACAGGAUUAGAUACCCUUGUAGUC
rnacentral:rRNA from 1 species